rnacentral:rRNA from 1 species
AAAACAUCGCCUCCUGCAACACAACCAAGUAUAGGAGGUCCAGCCUGCCCAGUGACUACAAGUUCAACGGCCGCGGUAUUUUGACCGUGCAAAGGUAGCGCAAUCACUUGUCUUUUAAAUAGAGACCUGUAUGAAUGGCUAAACGAGGGCUUAACUGUCUCCCCUUUCCAGUCAGUGAAAUUGAUCUACCCGUGCAGAAGCGGGUAUAAUAAUACAAGACGAGAAGACCCUUUGGAGCUUAAGGUACAAAACUCAACCACGUUAAGCAACUCAAUAAAAAGUGAAAACUUUGUGGAACAUGAGAUUUUACCUUCGGUUGGGGCGACCACGGAGGAAAAAAGAGCCUCCAGGUGGAACGGGAGAAUUUCCUAAAACUAAGAGAGACAUCUCUAAGCCACAGAACAUCUGACCAAAUAUGAUCCGGCUAAUACAAGCCGAUCAACGAACCAAGUUACCCUAGGGAUAACAGCGCAAUCCUCUCCCAGAGUCCAUAUCGACGAGGGGGUUUACGACCUCGAUGUUGGAUCAGGACAUCCUAAUGGUGCAGCCGCUAUUAAGGGUUCGUUUGUUCAACGAUUAAAGUCCUACGUGA